rnacentral:misc_RNA from 1 species
GUGGGAACAUGGAAGAGCCAAAAUUAUCACAGAAGAGACCUUGCUCUGCUUCUGGUGGCACAAGCCAGUUAUUUGAUGUGCAAUUCUGCCCAGUCCAGCCAUCGAAUGAUUCCGGAUAUGGUGCUAGUUCAGUAGCUUCCUGUUGAGGAAUUCCAUUAUCUGUUGCUUGGUUUUCAGACCAGCUUGUUUCACCAGCAAUGAAGGUUGAAUAGUUAGUCAUCUGAUAGGAAUCAGAGCGAACCAUAUUGUAAACCUGUUCACCUUCAUUGUAGUUU